rnacentral:rRNA from 1 species
AUGCACUCCAGCGCCAUCGGAGGGCACUCUGGCAAUGAGGCUACUUACAACCGUAUCAUUCGCCUCUUUGCGUGGCCCCGACUGAAGCAAACUGUCAAGGACUUCGUGGCGCUCUGUGCUGUAUGCAAACAAGCCAAACCAGAACAUGUUAAGUACCCUGGGCUGCUGCAGCCGCUGGAGGUGCCUACGCAAGCUUGGCAAGUGGUCACUCUUGACUUUGUGGAAGGGUUACCGACCUCCCGUGGCUUCAACUCUAUCCUAGUGGUGGUGGACAAACUCAGCCGGUAUGCUCACUUCAUUCCCCUCCGCCAUCCAUUCACCGCUCUUCAAGUGGCGAAAGCAUAUAUGGAUUUCGUCUUCAAACUGCACGGGCCUCCAGAUGCUAUGGUUUCCGACCGCGAUAGAGUCUUCACCAGUCGGGUCUGGAAAUAAUUGUACAAGCUGACCCACACAACCCUCAACAUCUCAUCUUCCCGGCACCCGCAGACUGACGGCACAACGGAGCGCGUCAAUCAGUGCAUGGAAAUCUACCUCCGCUGUUUUGUUCAUAACUGCCCCAGCAAAUGGAUGGAUUGGCUCUCCCUCGCGGAAUUCUGGUACAACACUUCCUACCAAUCCACUCUCAAGUCCACUCCUUUUGAAGUACUCUACGGCCACAAGCCUCGCUUCUUCGGCAUCUCUAAUGUAGCCGAUGCUGCGGUCACUGACCUGGCCAAGUGGACUGAAGAACGUGCCACCAUGGUGGCUUUGCUCCGUCAGCACCUUAACAGAGCCCGGCAGGAUAUGAAAGUGAAGGGAGACCGCAAACGGUCAGACCGAGUAUUCGCUGUGGGGGAUUGGGUGUUCCUCAAGCUGCAACCAUACGCGCAAUCAUCAGUGGCAGCGCACGCUAACCACAAGCUUGCCUUUCGAUUCUUUGGACCGUUUCAGGUGCUGCAGCGCGUGGGCGAAGUGGCGUACAAGCUCGCACUUCCGGAGCAUUCCAAGAUUCAUCCUGUUAUCCAUGUCUCACAGCUCCGUGCCGGCCUCCCUCCGGCCACGAGUGCUAUGCCAGAACUUCCGGUACUUGACGAGGAUCUGCUUCCACUCCAAGUACCUGAAGCCGUCCUCCAGAAGCGUCGCGUCCAACAAGGAGGCCGGCAAGUGAAACAAGUUCUAGUGCAAUGGUCGGGAUUCCCUGCAUCCUUAGCAACCUGGGAGGACAAGAUUCCGCUGCGGUCCUGCUUUCCCUGA